GCUUAGAUAGUUUAAAUAAAACAUUAAUCUUGUAAAUUAAUAAUACUUAAAAGUUCCAGGCC
rnacentral:tRNA from 1 species